GUGAACGCCCUCACGGGCUUAUACUAUUCCAAACCUCUGUGAACCGUGCCCUUCGGGGCUAUUUUACAAACAUGGUGUACUGAACGUCAUAUAUCAUAACAAAACA
rnacentral:misc_RNA from 1 species